UGUUUGAUUAAAAACCUAGAAAAGUAAGAGUUAGAAGUAUUGAUAGUCGUGACUUACAGAUAUUUUUUUUGCAGCUUUCAAGUACGAGUCCCAUCCUUGAGGUUCUAAAAUAAGAACACCAUUCGUUUCCAAUAAAGAACUAAUCUUCCCAAAGAAUUUAAUGAUUCCUUCAUCGUGGUUAUUUAGAUGCACCCAUUUAGAUACGGAUAAUGCUAGUAUUAUUUUGAAUUUUCGUUUCGAUUCCCAGCGCAAGAAGUCAGCGGUCUCAAAUUCUAUAUUGUGAGGGAAAUUUUGCUUAUUGAGAGGUGGUUGAAGUUGCACUGGUAUCCUGGAAAACUUUUUAAUGCUUGAAAUGGGGUAAUAAUUAAACUGGUCUUCUACAAUGGAACCAGGAUUGCGUACAGGGCCAAUUCGAGAGCUCACAAACUCAAGAUGUUUUCGAGCUUUUUGGAUGAGAACAUGAUCGAUAUCCAAUCCCAAAACAAAUGAUGCACCAAAUAUUGAGGCAAUUUGAGCAGACACUGUCCCAUUAUUGCAUCCUAUAUCUAAAACUGAAGCCUCAUAAAAAAGGGAAUCAGGCAAACAUUUAAGUCUUGGAUCGAUAAUUGAGGUUCCUCCCCUCAUGCUGUAAUAACUGUGAUAAUUUCCAUGUUGAAAAUUCGACAUCCCAAGUCGAGGAGGUUUUUCAAAUCACCCCUAUUUUUUAUAAAAGUAUAAAUUUUGCAAUGGAAUUUAAACGAAAACUUACGAAUCGAACUAUUUAAACAAAAGCGAGAAGUUUCAAUUUGUUGUUGUUACUAAUACAUUAACGAUGUUUACAUAUCUUGAAACUCAACGUCCGACUCGUAAAAACUAGUCUUAAAGCAUCCAACAAUUUAGAAAGGAUCGCUAGCGGUAAAAAAAAUAAUAUCAAAAAUAUAUAUAUAUAUAUAUUAUCCUUUUAGCAAUUCUUCGAAAGUUAUUUUACUUUUGUAUGUACCUCGAUUUCAACGUCUUUUUGCAAACUUAUCUUCGAAGGUGUUUUUCCCUUUAUGACUAAAAAUUUAUUGCUUACGUAGACAGGUUAAGAUAGUUUAAAAAAUGUUUAGUAUAUGCAAAAUAUAUUUCAUUCUAAUUACAAGAACGAUUAGGUGGGCUUUUUCUUUGAACAAGAUUCCUUCAUGUAAAAUAGCAAGAUGAGAAUAGUUUUACACUUUAUAAGUCAAUUCAAUCUAAACUCAAUCAAAAUCAUCAUCCAAAUCGUCAUUAACGGAAGAAUCUCGUUUACCUAACUCAUCUUCUGCAUUUUGUGGAUCCUUCAAAGCUGCAAUAUCACUGUCCUUUAAGGCACCGGCUCUAACCAAUGCUUCAGCUACAUCAACUACACUAGUGUUCAUUCCUCCUAAAGUAGCUAAGGUUAGAAUUUGUUGUUGUAAGUCUCCAUGACCGUAUAUCAAAAGAGUUGGCAUCAUCGCUUCAGGAUAAUUUUCGACUGCUUGUUUUCCGGGAAUUUUUACAAAUUUAAUUUGGGGAUACAUUGGUGCUAGUCUCUCUAAGAUAGCAGCUAAUAAUUUACAGGCCGGUAGUCUUGAAUUGUAGUGUGUUAGUAUUGACCCAUUGAAAAUGCAAACAAAUGAAGAACAAACGUACGAGUCUUGGAACAUAUGCACAACGACAAACACUUCCUUGCUUGCAUCUGUGACUUCAGCUGUAUAUUCUGGUUUCGAAAUAGGAUAUACUGAGCCAAAUUUUGCUUUUGACAUUUGAUCCUUCCACUCCUGCAUCCGCUUGUUUCUGUACAUUUGUAAAAACUCAUCAUCUUCUUCGUCCUCAAGCUCUGCUAACUCAUCUAGAUCCUUGUUUUCCAACCGAUUCUCGUGGGCAAGCUGCUUUGCAUCGACCAACGCAUCGUCUAAAACAUCAUCCACAUCAGGUUCUUUUUCGGGUAAAAUUCCCUUCGAACGUAAAAUAUCAUUCCUGAUUUGUUAACUUCUAUUGUUACAACUAUUCAUCCUCCAUACCAUUCGGUAUCUUCGUCAGGAUUCAUUUGGAUAUAUUCCUUUUAUUAAUCCCGUUGCAAAGUGAUGUGUGUAUUUACCUAUUAUAGGAACGAUUA